UGACUUCGGAGCUCAGGUGGUUAGAGCACUGCACCGGCAUCGCAGAGGUCAUGGGUUCGAAUCCCUUUGAGUCAC
rnacentral:tRNA from 1 species